CUGCAUUGUAGGCAUGGGAGGGAGUAAGAUUUGGCACAGGAUGAGAGUGGUGUAAAGCAAAGUGGGUGGUAGCUGGGCUAGCAAAAGAAGGCCUGUUACAAGAUUGCACAGUGGCAGCCGGAAGAGCAGGGACUGCCAGCAUGGAAUCUAUCUUCGGCAGUCCAAGUCCACGUGAUGAAGAGGGAAGGACUUGGAAUAAGAGAUGAAUGGGAAGCAUUUCAACAGUACAACGGUCAUCCUCAAAGAACUUGUGACAAGGACUUUGCUGGUUGUUUUGAAACUAUAAAUUUGGACAGACCAGGGUACAUUUGAAAGAAAAUGUGGAAGGUUCUUGUGGCAGGUUUGAUUAUCCAUCCAUCCAUCCAUCCAUCGCCUACAACCACUUGUCCCGAGCGGGGUCACGGCGAGCUGGAGCCUUUUCCAGCAACACAGGAUAUAAAGCUGAAGGGGGAGGGAACACAUCCAGAACGGGAAGGUCAAGAGUACUUUGGGCAGGUCGCUGAAGCGACUCAAGAGAUUUCACAAGGGUGUUGUCACAUCCACACCCACAACUCAACUGACAACACCUGACUCUGCUCCAGCACCUGAUUAACCGCUCACCCUUUAAAAGACCCUCCUCAGCUCCCAUACCUUUGUGGAAUCUCAUCAGGGACAACCGUCCUUCCUUGUGACUCCGCGCUCAUACGCAUCUCCAGUUCUCAGUUCACGUUCUCCGGUUUUGACCCCUAGCUUUGUUUCUCGACCACGUCCACGGAUCUUCGUUUCAACUCCGAUUGCCGUUCGACCGACUCUUCGCUUCGUCUCCUGACCUCGUCCAUGGAUUCUCGCUCUGACCCCGACCGCCGAUCGACCGACCCUCCACCUGUCUCCUAUACCGAGAACUUGCCUGAUCCUCUGCCUCCAGAUGAACAACGCCGCACUUGAGUCUUUCCGUCCCGGUUCUCUUGGCCUGCCGUGACAGGUGUGAACACUUCUGCAAGUUACUUGAAUCUGAAUUAUUUAAAUAAUUGUUUGAUUAAAGUUUGAAAACUUGCAGUGUCCGUAUAUUUUACUAACUGCCAG
rnacentral:lncRNA from 1 species